AUGCAGUCGAGCGCCCCGCAAGGGGAGCGGCAGACGGGUGAGUAACGCGUGGGAACGUACCUUUUGCUACGGAAUAACUCAGGGAAACUUGUGCUAAUACCGUAUGUGCCCUUCGGGGGAAAGAUUUAUCGGCAAAGGAUCGGCCCGCGUUGGAUUAGCUAGUUGGUGAGGUAAAGGCUCACCAAGGCGACGAUCCAUAGCUGGUCUGAGAGGAUGAUCAGCCACACUGGGACUGAGACACGGCCCAGACUCCUACGGGAGGCAGCAGCAGGGAAUUUUGCACAAUGGGCGCAAGCCUGAUGCAGCGACGCCGCGUGGGGGAUGAAUGCCUUCGGGUUGUAAACCCCUUUCAGGAGGGACGAAGCGAAAGUGACGGUACCUCCAGAAGAAGCCCCGGCCAACUACGUGCCAGCAGCCGCGGUAAUACGUAGGGGGCGAGCGUUGUCCGGAUUUAUUGGGCGUAAAGAGCUCGUAGGCGGCUCAACAAGUCGGCCAUGAAAACCUGAGGCUCAACCUCAGGACGCCGGUCGAAACUGUUGUGGCUAGGGUCCGGUAGAGGAGAGUGGAAUUCCCGGUGUAGCGGUGAAAUGCGCAGAUAUCGGGAGGAACACCAGUAGCGAAGGCGGCUCUCUGGGCCGGCACCGACGCUGAGGAGCGAAAGCUAGGGGAGCAAACAGGAUUAGAUACCCUGGUAGUCCUAGCCGUAAACGUUGGGAACUAGGUGUGGCGGAUUCAUUGACAUCUGCCGUGCCGAAGCUAACGCAUUAAGUUCCCCGCCU
rnacentral:rRNA from 1 species